UGAGAAUACACAGCAAAUUCCUCUCAAUUUCUGAUUCCCUAAAACAAAUCCCUAGUUCACACUUCUCACACCCUCAGCCCUCUUAUCUUCAUCGUCCUUCUUGGCUUCUACCGGCCCUCACUCCUCUGUUCUGUUCGCGAGUCAUGGUGGGUCGAGCCCUGAAUUCCUACCACCUUGGACAGCCCAUGCGAGUCGAUGAGCAUGUCACUCGACCCCAAUUUACUGGACAGAGAUCCCAGAGUUAGCCGCAGUGUUAUGGGCUUCGAGCCAAGCAAAUUACGAUUCGGUUUCGAUAUCCUGGAUUAUAGGACCAUAUAGAGGAAGAUGAGAAAUCUAUUGUUAUGCGAAGCUGAGUGCUAUUGUUCAAGCAGAAUUAAGAUCCAAGGAUACAGUGCUAUUGUGAAUUCUGAUAAGGAUUACAAGCUACGAUGAAUUACACCUUGGCUUGGACCUGACAGACUUUUGGUAGAAUAUGAUUCAAGCUCAUUUGUGAAGAACAUUCUUCUUCUAGACUCUAAAGGGAAGAAUCUUACUCUGAUAAUUGGCCAACAAUUGCUGCUAAGCUAGCUUGAACAAUCCUGUGUUCACUAAGACUCUAAAGACAAAUGCAUGGAUAGAAGUAGAGGUUACGAUGUGCGAGUGCAACGUAGUUAUAUAUACGUUUGUUCAAGACCUUCACUUCUUUGUGACCGGAGGUGAUGAUGAAAAUGAACUCAUUUAGCCACUGUACUUCAGGGAUUCUUUGAUGAGUUGCCCUUCUCUUGAGGUAGAGAACAACGUCGACAAAAGGGAGGCAUUAGAUAACUUGGAUAUAUACUUUAUGCUUUGAUGAGAUCGUUGAUGGAGGGUAUUUUAAUUUUCUUUUCAUUGUUUUUGUGUUUGAACAAGAUGUAGUACUGGGAAAGAUGCAAACCAUGUUAUUAUCUUUUUUAUGUUUGAUGAAUUCCUGAUAUCUAAGCUACAAAAUUAUUAUGACCAAAACUUACAAAUCAAUAUAGAUGUGUCCUGCUCUACCUGUUUAUGUAUGUGGAGUGCAGUUUUCUUCUAAAGCUAAGUUCUUUGUCUGACAUUUCCAUUUGCCUUAUUCUGCAGGCCAGAUAAAGGAGGCAGUUCUAAGUUAAGAGUAAAAGUUUAGUUGAUAUUAACCCUGCUUAUCUUAAUUGUCAUCUUCCUUAAUAUUUGAAAUGAAUUUUAUUAGAGAAAAAUAAAGUUGAAAAGGAAAAGAUAAAGUGAAUUUCGAUUAUUACAUACUAAUCAUCAUCUUUCAUACACAGAAAGUGUUUUAGAUCGCGAUAUUGUUUAGGUUCAGCCUUAUAAACAAGUGUAGGUUGUGAAAAACCUAAACAGUUGUAUUCAUGUGUGAUAGGAUAGUUGUACAUCAAUUUGGUGGCAUUAGAUCUAUGAAGUUGCCUCUUUGUUUUAUUUCAGCAACUUGGAUUGAAGCUAUAGGUUAAUCAUUUGCAGUUUAUAAGUAUGUGACCUAUUUUCAAUAAUAUUUUUAAUAGUAUUUAAAAAAAAAAAAAUUUGUCAGGUUAAUUAGAUGCCUUCAUGGAUUCUUUGAACUUUUUUCUUUUUAUGAAGACUUACAAAUUGAUAUCGCACAUUUUCUACACUGUGUUGAUAUCUAGCAAAGUGAAAUUGUUUUCUUUUCUUGCUUACCUUAAUUUUGAAGUUGAUGACUUUACGAUUAAUUUUAGGAUUUCAUUGUUGUUUUGGAGUCUAUUUUGUUUGCUGUGCAUUUCAAUUUCAAUUUUUUAUUGAUAGUACCAUUAAGAAGUGGUGAAUGAAAUUAGCAGGGCUUUUUUUCUUUGUGCAAGAGUUUAUUGUACCAGCAAGAAAACUGUACCAAAUAUUUGCUCAAAGGGUAAAUGCGAAAGAUCUGGUAAAACAUAAAAUGCUUGAUCCUGACCCCAAGAAGCGGCUGACAGCUCAAGAAGUACUUGCUAAUUAGAGUAAUCUGAUAUGUUAUACAAUGGCAAAGAUAUAUUGUUGCAAAUGUUUAUUACUUUCCAUUAUAACUUCCACUCAAUUCUUUUCAUGCAGAUCAUCCUUGGACACAAAAUGCCAAGAAGGCCCCAAAUGCUCCACUUGGUGAGACAAAGGCUGAAACAAUUUUUUGUAAUGAACAAACUGAAAAAAGAAAAAAGAAAAAAAAAAGAGCUCUUGGGGUAAGUAUUUUUUAUUAUCCUUUUCAAUAUUAUUGAUGUCCCCCAUAAUUAUGGAAGUAAUUUAUGUUGUGUCACUUGUAUAUUGUGUGGAAGUUGGCAUUUCUUUUUAUAUGCUUCAAAAUCUGUCACUUGAUGUUUAAACUUUUUGAGUAUCUUAUAUGCAGGUCAUAGCCGAGCAUUUGUCAGUUGAGGAAGUAGCUGGCAUAAGGGAGGCAUUUCAACUUAUGGAUACUGACAACAAAGGCAAGGUAUCCCUCGAUCAGCUUUGAAAUGGAAUACAAAAACUUGGCAAGCAAGCCUUAUAUGUAUUCUUGUUUAUUUUGAAAUUGCUAUGAAGGAUGGAUAUUGACAAUUGUAUAUUUUGGAUUUGUGAAGUGAUUAUUUCAUGAUGGAGUUCAUGGCUUAUUGGAUUGGAUCAGUUUAAUAUAGAUAAUUGGUUUCAGAGUA
rnacentral:lncRNA from 1 species